rnacentral:rRNA from 1 species
UACGAAGGGGGCUAGCGUUGUUCGGAUUUACUGGGCGUAAAGGGCGCGUAGGCGGAUUUUUAAGUCAGGGGUGAAAUCCCAAGGCUCAACCUUGGAACUGCCUUUGAUACUGGGAAUCUUGAGUCCGGGAGAGGUGAGUGGAACUGCGAGUGUAGAGGUGAAAUUCGUAGAUAUUCGCAAGAACACCAGUGGCGAAGGCGGCUCACUGGCCCGGAACUGGCGCUGAGGCGCGAAAGCGUGGGGAGCGAACAGG